UAUUUUGCUAUUUUUUUUCAAACAUGGAUCAGACUGACUCUAUUCAACUUCUUCAGUUGGUCAUUUAAGCAAAAACUCCUAAUGCACCAAAUUAAUUUGUACCAAAAUUGCAGCUUGUUCCAGCUUUUCAUAUUUGAAACCUGAAUUUGUAGUGAGUGGUUUAAAGUGGGUUUUCACACAGAUGAUGAAUGGUUUUUGUAAUGAAAUUAUUGAAGGAAAACCUCAGUUUUAGGUGUAGGCGGUGCUCCGGAUGCUGUUUAGUUCAAUUAGUUGUUAGUCGCCUGCUGCAAAGAUGAAGAGCAGAAAACAGUCUUUGGAGUCGGUGGAAGGUUUCUGCAUUUCUGUGAAUGUGAGAAACUCAAGAACAGAUACGUGGACAAAUCUGUGUCCACAAGAGGACAUAUUUCUGUGCCACAGAAUGUGACUUUUUCCAUUCAUCCUUACAGCUUGUGCACAUCAUUUUGUUUCUGCAGCAUCAUGCUCUAAGCACACAGUGGUUUUGAUAAAAUGGUGAGCAGUGCCUUUUCCCCCCAGGCAGUCUUAUAUGUACAGCUUUUUUCUUUUUAAUAUACUGUAACCUGAACACAGAAGCACAGAGCAAGAUUAAAAAAAGGCUCAUUGCACCAAAGCACAAAAUAUUUAAUAUAAGCAGGGCACAUUAGUUAAUAAUAAUAAUAAUAAAUCUUUUUCCACACCUUAUUUGUGCCAUCAGAUCCAGCCUGUGGAUAUUACAAUUUAACUUCAGGUCGAACUGUGAUUAGAAUGAAGAGCUGGUUUUUUUCCAUUUGAUUUGCAUGCAUGUUUUUAUGACUAAAUGCUUUUCAUAGUUAUUGUGGGUGUCUAUGACUAAAUGUAGGGGGGGAAAGUGUACGUGUUCAAUAUUGUGAUGUUCAGUGUGAUUUUAGUGUUUUUUUGGUUCAUUUUUAAUAAAUGCAGUGAUCAUGAAAAA